CCUAAAAACGGGGCAAGUCGAACGAGAUCCAUCUGGUGGCAACACCCGUGAAGAUCUAGUGGCGAACGGGUGCGGAACCGAUGAGCAACCUGCCCCAAAGACUGGGAAGACCGCGGGAAACCGCUGCUAACAGACGGAAGCCCCCCGAAGCUCGCAUGGGCUUGUGCGGAAAGGAUUCCGCUUUGGGAGGGGCUCGCGGCCUAUCCGUUUGUUGGUGAGGUAACGGCUCACCAAGGGGACGACGGGUAGCUGGUCUGAGAGGACGAUCCGCCACACUGGGACUUAUAGGGAGCCCCGACUCCUACGGGAGGCCGCCGUGGGGAAUCUUGCGCAAUGGGCGAUUCAAAUGACGCCGCAACGCCGCGUGGGGGAUGAAGGCCUUCGGGUUGUAAACCCCUUUCCGUGGGAACGAAAUCGACGGUACCCACCGAAGUUCAAACCGGAAGAGGACAGAGUGCCCGCCGCCGCGGUGAAGCGUAGGGGGCGAGCGUUGUCCGGAUUACGGGGGGCGUAAAGAGCUCGUAGGCGGCUUGGUAAGUCGGGUGUGAAACCCCCCGGCUCAACCUGGGGACGCCACUCGAAGCUGCCAUAGCUAGAGUCCGGUAGGGGACCCGAGAAUUCCUGGUGUAGCGGUGAAAUGCGCCGAAGUCCGGAGGAACACCCGUGGCGAAAGCGGUGGUCUGGGCCGGCACUGACGCUGAGGAGCGAAAGCGUGGGGAGCGAACCGGAUUAGAA
rnacentral:rRNA from 1 species